UACGUAGGGUGCAAGCGUUAAUCGGAAUUACUGGGCGUAAAGGGCUCGUAGGCGGCCAACUAAGUCAGACGUGAAAUCCCUCGGCUUAACCGGGGAACUGCAUCUGAUACUGGAUGGCUUGAGAUUGGGAGAGGGAUGCGGAAUUCCAGGUGUAGCGGUGAAAUGCGUAGAUAUCUGGAGGAACACCGGUGGCGAAGGCGGCAUCCUGGACCAACACUGACGCUGAGGAGCGAAAGCCAGGGGAGCAAACGGG
rnacentral:rRNA from 1 species